rnacentral:rRNA from 1 species
GAUGAACGCUGGCGGCGUGCCUAAUACAUGCAAGUCGAGCGAAUGGAUUAAGAGCUUGCUCUUAUGAAGUUAGCGGCGGACGGGUGAGUAACACGUGGGUAACCUGCCCAUAAGACUGGGAUAACUCCGGGAAACCGGGGCUAAUACCGGAUAACAUUUUGAACCGCAUGGUUCGAAAUUGAAAGGCGGCUUCGGCUGUCACUUAUGGAUGGACCCGCGUCGCAUUAGCUAGUUGGUGAGGUAACGGCUCACCAAGGCAACGAUGCGUAGCCGACCUGAGAGGGUGAUCGGCCACACUGGGACUGAGACACGGCCCAGACUCCUACGGGAGCUAGCAGUAGGGAAUCUUCCGCAAUGGACGAAAGUCUGACGGAGCAACGCCGCGUGAGUGAUGAAGGCUUUCGGGUCGUAAAACUCUGUUGUUGGGGAAGAACAAGUGCUAGUUGAAUAAGCUGGCACCUUGACGGUACCUAACCAGAAAGCCACGGCUAACUACGUGCCAGCCGCCGCAGUAA